UACGUAGGGGGCAAGCGUUGUCCGGAUUUAUUGGGCGUAAAGAGCGUGUAGGCGGUUAGGUAGGUCCGUUGUGAAAACUCGAGGCUCAACCUCGAGACGCCGAUGGAAACCAUCUGACUAGAGUCCGGAAGAGGAGAGUGGAAUUCCUGGUGUAGCGGUGAAAUGCGCAGAUAUCAGGAGGAACACCGGUGGCGAAGGCGGGACUCUGGGGCCGAUACUGACGCUGAGGAGCGAAAGCGUGGGGAGCAAACAGG
rnacentral:rRNA from 1 species